rnacentral:rRNA from 1 species
ACAGAGGUGCCAAGCGUUAGGCGGAAUCACUGGGCUUAAAGCGCGUGUAGGUGGAUGGUAAGUAUCUUGUGAAAUCCCACGGCUCAACCGUGGAACUGCUGGAUAUACUGCUUGUCUUGAGGCACUUAGGGGCAGCUGGAACAAAUGGUGGAGCGGUGAAAUGCGUAGAUAUCAUUUGGAACGCCAAAGGCGAAAGCAGGCUGCUGGGAGUGAUCUGACGCUGAGGAACGAAAGCCAGGGUAGCGAACGGGA